rnacentral:rRNA from 1 species
GACGAACGCUGGCGGCGUGCUUAACACAUGCAAGUCGAGCGGAAAGGCCACUUCGGUGGUACUCGAGCGGCGAACGGGUGAGUAACACGUGAGUAAUCUGCCCCUGGCUUUGGGAUAGCCACCGGAAACGGUGAUUAAUACCGGAUACGACCACUUCUCGCAUGGGAUGGUGGUGGAAAGUUUUUUCGGCCAGGGAUGUGCUCGCGGCCUAUCAGCUUGAUGGUGAGGGAAUGGCUCACCAUGGCUUCGACGGGUAGCCGGCCUGAGAGGGUGACCGGUCACACUGGGACUGAGACACGGCCCAGACUCCGACGGGAGGCAGCAGUGGGGAAUAUUGGACAAUGGGCGGAAGCCUGAUCCAGCAACGCCGCGUGAGGGAUGACGGCCUUCGGGUUGUAAACCUCUUUCAGCAGGGACGAAGCGCAAGUGACGGUACCUGCAGAAGAAGCACCGGCCAACUACGUGCCAGCCGCCGCGGUAA